rnacentral:rRNA from 1 species
UCCGUAGGUGGGCGUCUAAGUCAGUGGUGAAAUCUUACAGCUCAACUGUAAAAUUGCCAUUGAUACUGGAUGUCUUGAAUUAGUGUGAAGUGGUUAGAAUGUGUAGUGUAGCGGUGAAAUGCAUAGAUAUUACACAGAAUACCAAUUGCGAAGGCAGAUCACUAACACUAUAUUGACGCUGAGGGACGAAAGCGUGGGGAGCGAACAGGAUUAGAUACCCUGGUAGUCC